rnacentral:rRNA from 1 species
UACGUAGGGUGCAAGCGUUGUCCGGAAUUAUUGGGCGUAAAGAGCUCGUAGGCGGUUUGUUGCGUCGGCUGUGAAAUCCCGAGGCUCAACCUCGGGUCUGCAGUCGAUACGAGCAAACUAGAGUGUUGCAGGGGAGACUGGAAUUCCUGGUGUAGCGGUGAAAUGCGCAGAUAUCAGGAGGAACACCGGUGGCGAAGGCGGGUCUCUGGGCAACAACUGACGCUGAGGCGCGAAGGCUAGGGGAGCGAACGGG